rnacentral:rRNA from 1 species
AGGAAGCCCCGGCUAACUACGUGCCAGCAGCCGCGGUAAUACGUAGGGGGCAAGCGUUAUCCGGAAUUACUGGGCGUAAAGGGUGCGUAGGUGGCCUGACAAGUCAGGGGUCAAAGGCAACGGCUCAACCGUUGUAAGCCCUUGAAACUGUCGGGCUUGAGUUCAGGAGAGGAAAGCGGAAUUCCAAGUGUAGCGGUGAAAUGCGUAGAUAUUUGGAGGAACACCAGUGGCGAAGGCGGCUUUCUGGACUGAUACUGACACUGAGGCACGAAAGCGUGGGGAGCAAACAGGAUUAGAUACCCUGGUAGUCCACGCCGUAAACGAUGAGUACUAGGUGUUGGCCCUAAGGGUCAGUGCCGCAGUUAACACAUUAAGUACUCCGCCUGGGAAGUACGCUCGCAAGAGUGAAACUCAAAGGAAUUGACGG